rnacentral:misc_RNA from 1 species
CCUGUUUAUUAGUUGGUGUGUUGGCAAGACUUUAGUGUGUAAAUCGCAUUUCUCCAAUGCAAACUCUUUUCCUAGUCUUAUGCUGUUCAUCCGUCUAGGUCUCUUUCUCUUGGCAACUUCGUGAUAUGAGCGUUGGUUAACAUUCGCAUAUUUUCACAUGGAUCGUUUUUCUGAAAUUCAAGUGAAAGCACUUGCCUGUCCCAUCUUGGCCAAACCUUCGUUAAUUGGCUCUCCUCAAUUGGGUUUAACUGUAAUCGGUCGAACUACAAAACCGAGACGUGAUUAAACUACACACGAACAGCUAAGUAGAUAGUUUUUUAUGAAUACCGCGUCGCCUUCAGAGACAUUCAGUUGACAGACCAUCUGUCAAAGGUAAAGGUGUAUCGGUUUCUCGUCGAAAGCGUUUCGAGUACGGGAUCGCAGGUUAACAUCAACAUCAUUCGUGGCGUUCCAUUUCUUUCGUGAUUGUCAAGGCGAUUUCAGCAGCUUUCCAUUUAAAACCAAACCCAGGGGAACAAAGGGCAAACCAUCUUGCAGGAGCAACUUCAUCGUUCCAUUUCCUGCCGAAUCCCUUCAGUAUGGGGAAACAAAACAGCAAGUUGAAACCAGAAGUGCUGGAAGAUUUGCGUCAGAACACGGAAUUUUCAGAUGCGGAAAUCCAGGAGUGGUAUAAAGGAUUCCUGAAAGAUUGCCCUAGUGGACACCUUAGCGUCGAAGAAUUUAAGAAGAUCUACGGCAACUUUUUCCCGUACGGUGACGCAUCAAAGUUUGCUGAACAUGUUUUCCGGACCUUUGACGCUAACGGCGACGGAACUAUUGAUUUUCGGGAAUUCCUCUGUGCCCUGUCCGUCACUUCCCGUGGCAAACUGGAACAAAAGCUCAAAUGGGCCUUUUCCAUGUAUGAUCUUGACGGUAAUGGUUACAUCUCGCGGCAAGAGAUGCUGGAAAUUGUUACGGCAAUCUACAAAAUGGUCGGAUCGGUUAUGAAGAUGCCCGAGGAUGAGUCUACUCCCGAAAAACGGACAGACAAGAUUUUCCGUCAAAUGGAUAAAAAUAUGGAUGGGAAAUUAUCGCUUGAAGAGUUUAUUGAAGGAGCCAAAAGCGAUCCGUCAAUCGUGCGACUGCUUCAGUGCGAUACCCAGGGUGGUGCUCAAUAGCGUUAGCCUCUCAAACGUGUAGCACCAAACGCCCGAUAUACCAUAUACAAGACUAUUUAUCAAAUGGAGAGGCAGAGAGAGAAAGAGGGAGAAAGAAGAGCGAGAAAUGAGCCAAACAGCUUGUGGUUUGUACAUCUGUGGGAAAUAGACCCUAAACACAGACAUGAACAUCCGUACCCUUCGCAUCUCGUCACCUCUUCGUUGCACCAACUUGAAAAUACAGAUAUACAUGUCGCUGCAAUUUGGAGGCUAAAAUGGAGGCACAUUUUAUUAACGUUUUCUGGUGCAAGACUGCAAGUAGUUAUUCAAGUCCUUUGUCCUUUUCAUUAUUAGUGUGCGUUAUUGUCUUUACAGAGUUUGUCGAAUGAAUCUGGAGAAACUGGUGUCCCAUGGGUGAUAACCAAUUGUAUAGCUUGUUCUUGAAUUUCAGUUUUUGAUGGUAUUUGGUUUUACGUAGUAGUCUACGUCAUUAUAAUGACAUCGUUUGUUACGAUUCGGCCUGGGUACAUAUUGUCAAUCAUAUUUACAUCAAUCAAGGUUUCUUCUUCUUCUCUAUUUGACUUCCAUUUCAAUUCUUCAUUGUUGUGCUACAGUUACAAAGUUGUAUUGCUACAUGUAAAUCGUGAACAGUUCUCGACACAGCAUGCCAAGCAAGAGUGAACAAACAUACGAGGGGACACUUCUAAAGAAAGCACGACAGAUAGCACACCCUUUAAUAUUUACAUGAGGUGGUUGGUUUACUUUUUCUCAGGUGCGUGUUAUUUAUUUAAUUCUUUCCCCUACUCUUUAACUACUGUACGUGACAUCGUGUUUUGCAAUCUCGUAUUUGCAUUUAUUUUAUUGCCCAUCUUUCCGCCUUCUUCAGUGUUUGGGACCCCUCUUCCUUUUCGGGUGUGCAUCUAUUCUCUCACAAAAUUUUGGAUUUGAUUGCCCCCGUCAUAAUUCCACCUGAGCAGCCCCAGAAAGAUGAAUGAAAGCUUUAAUUAUAAGCUGAACCCACUUCAAGCUAUGUCGCUUUAUCUUUAUCGUGAAAUUCAAUGCAUGUUUUCCUUAAACUACAAUUAAUAAACAUAUGAAAUCUGG